rnacentral:rRNA from 1 species
GACGAACGCUGGCGGCGUGCCUAAUACAUGCAAGUAGAACGCACAGUUUAUACCGUAGCUUGCUACACCAUAAACUGUGAGUUGCGAACGGGUGAGUAACGCGUAGGUAACCUGCCUGGUAGCGGGGGAUAACUAUUGGAAACGAUAGCUAAUACCGCAUACUAUUGAUUAUUGCAUGAUAAUUGAUUGAAAGAUGCUAUUGCAUCACUACCAGAUGGACCUGCGUUGUAUUAGCUAGUAGGUGAGGUAACGGCUCACCUAGGCGACGAUACAUAGCCGACCUGAGAGGGUGAUCGGCCACACUGGGACUGAGACACGGCCCAGACUCCUACGGGAGGCAGCAGUAGGGAAUCUUCGGCAAUGGACGAAAGUCUGACCGAGCAACGCCGCGUGAGUGAAGAAGGUUUUCGGAUCGUAAAGCUCUGUUGUAAGAGAAGAACGGGUGUGAGAGUGGAAAGUUCACACUGUGACGGUAUCUUACCAGAAAGGGACGGCUAACUACGUG